ACGUCAAGCAAUCGGAACUUCUAACUCAUGAACAAAAUAAACAGCUGUAACAACUAUGAACAUGUAAGCAACAAAGCGUACCCGCCCAACCACGAGACGAUCACCUACUCGUCUCCCACUUUUUGGCCACUAAAUGGCCUACAUUAGCCCGUGUCGACCAUCAUGCCCACUCUCCCCAACAAUAUUACUUUAGCCGGACAUACUUUCUUUCAAUAUCUAUUUAGAAUCUCAUGCAAGUGGAUAUUUCGUUAACUUCAAAGAUGAAUUAGUAUUCAUGCACGUGAACAUUUCUUCCCCGAAUUCAUUUUUUAUUUUAACAGUACUAAAUGAAACAGGCGACGAAAUACUACAAAGAUAUUGCUAGUCGCCGCAAAAGAAACACGCACGGAGACGAUUUACAGGCAAUCUUUACGCCGAUUUAGGAACAAUGUGCCUACUUAACUUCUUAAAACUGGGUAUGUCACGAUAAUCAGUCGUGCAACAGAUAGGUGAUUACCCUAUCUAAAGAGCUCUCUGGGGGUGGUAAGGGGCGAUAUAAAUGGGUAAUUCCAAUUAGGUGCAGAUGCAUCACCUUAGAAAAUUUUCCAUCACCGUUCGUACUCUAAAGUGAAACUCGGCGUAAGUGCUUAUCUCCUUUUCAGGGAGUACGAUCAGGAGUCUCCAUCAUUUCUCUGCCAAGGGCUCGAACUAGGAUGGGUACAAUGGAACGGACUCACUCGGAGAAUGUGGGCGUGGUCUCGCCUGUGGCCGCUUCUUCGUUGCUGAUGCCCGGUCGUUGGAGGCUCGUCUCGUCGCAUUAAGCAUUGCGCCGACGCUUGGCUGCGUCCGGCGUCGCGGAUAUGGCUGGUGUGCGCCGCUGAGCCGAAUCCAGGCCGUUGGUAUGUUUCGUGGGCUUCUCUGGUGCGGGAGCUAGUCUUUUUGUUGCCGGAGCCGUUAAUUUUUAUUUUUUUAUUAGUACGUCUCGUCGCACUUAAGUUUUAAGUUUUUUUUUUUUUUAUAUUUUGUGACUUGAGCGUUUUAAUUUACGUAUAUUUAUUAAAUUGCA